GUUUGAGCAUGAAAUUGCAUUAGUACUUUUUCAUUUUGUCAGUAGUUUAGUUUGCAUUAUCGGACUGUGCAGUCAAAGCUUUCCAAUAAAUAAUACUUAUAAAAAAUUAAUCCUUCAGAAAUCAUGGAGUUUAGCGGGUCUGGAAUUGACUUUCUCAAAUAUAGACUAAAAACAAAAGCUAAAAAAUACUACAUCACCAUUGAAGACUUCCAGGGACUAUACAAUGUUAGUACAUUUAAGCAACUUAUGGAAGAAAUGUGUGACGUUCAGAAUAGCAAAUACCAAUCAAAAGUUUUCAGUAACCUCUACUUUUUACUGAUGGCUGCAUAUAAAAUGAAGUAUCAUGAUGAUUUAAAAUUGGAUAUAAUAGAAAAGUAUUGCGCAUUUAUACCCAAAUACGAGGUUGCUGCACCCAACCAUGUGAGAGAGUUUUCUGAAAAUUUAAUUGAAUUAUCAACUGAUCAUUUCGAAAAUACUCAGACGAAAUCGGAAUUGAGUUCAAAUGAACCAAAUGUGGAAAUUCGUGAAUAUCUUUUAACAAAUGUUGGCAAACGACACGAGUCAUUAUUUUCGCUUUUGGAAUUCUAUUUCGAUUUGACCGAUCACUUAAAUGCAUUUGCCACUAUCGAUUGUGUAAACUUUGUGGGAACUUUCAUAGGCGAAGUUCCAUUAUAUGACCCAGUACAAAUUAUCCCUUGUUUAGGUAUCAAAUUUGAUCAACUGGUUCCAGUUAUUUUGGAUAACGACACAGCAGGUGCAUAUGAUGUAUUCCAUUCAUCCGAGUAUUUUACUGAAAUUAUAGCAGAACGCUUAAAUAAUGAAUUGGACACAAAAGGCGAUGUUAUGAGAUUCUUCAGAAAUGGGGACAUCAUGGAUAAGAACAAUAUAAACGUUGCCAUGAUGAUGAAUAACAACUCAAUAAAGCCGUUAAGUCCUAAAAUUGUUGAUAAUGAGCAAACUUUAAUAUUUAUCGACUGCAUAUUUAUUUCUCCUGAAAAGGAAGCAUAUAACAAUCGCCGUAGCUUACGUUUACCUCCAGUUAUGUUUCAUAAAAUACCAGCUGCAGCUUUUGACUUCCAUUCGGAAGAUUUGGUUGGAAACCGAUGUAUUUAAAAAGGGGUUGAUGUGAGACGAUUUAAAAAUAUCAAAAUAUGCUAAUAAUAUGGAGCUCUAGGAACAUAAGUCUUACAAAUAUAAAUACAGGCAAUAGUAAAAAGAAAUUGACCAUCAGGAAAUAUUUUAACACCAUAGACGACGAGUUCCUCCUAUGUUCUGCAAAUGCUAAUAAAUUGGAAGAUUUUUUGUACCACAAUUAAAGUGUAAUAUCGCAAAUAUUCAAAUCAACUGAUUACUGCAGAUAAUAAUAAGUAUGCUAAAUUACCCAAACAUAUUUAAUCAUUUUAAUAAAGAUUUUAAUUACAAACUAUA